rnacentral:rRNA from 1 species
GGUGGAUAAGGGGAUUGCGCUGCUGAAGGUGGUGGGUAUGGUUGCCCAUAUGGCUGUGGCGGGUAAGGUUGCUGCCCAUAUGGCUGUGGUGGGUACGGUUGCCCGUAUGGCUGCGGUGGAUACGGUUGUCCAUAUGGCUGUGGUGGGUGACUUGUAGGAGGACCUCCCUGCUGCGGGUAUGGCUGCUGAGGAGGCGGAGUUGGGUAUGGCUGCUGAGGAGGCGGAGUUGGGUAUGGCUGCUGAGGAGGCGGAGUUGAGUACGCAGAAGGAGCAGGAUAUGGUGCGUGGCUAGGAGCUGGAUAAGCUUGGUGCGGUGGGGGUGCUGCAGCAUAUGCUGAAGGCGCUGGGUAUGAAGCUGAGGAGGCACCGUAUGGCGAAGGAGCGUACUGGCCAGAAGUUUUACCUGCCAUCUUGUUCUUC